rnacentral:rRNA from 1 species
GAGUUUGAUCCUGGCUCAGGAUGAACGCUGGCGGCGUGCUUAACACAUGCAAGUCGAACGAAGCACCUUGAUCCGAUUCUUCGGAUGAAGAUCUUGGUGACUGAGUGGCGGACGGGUGAGUAACGCGUGGGUAACCUGCCUCAUACAGGGGGAUAACAGUUAGAAACGACUGCUAAUACCGCAUAAGCCCACGACCCGGCAUCGGGUUGAGGGAAAAGGAGCAAUCCGCUUUGAGAUGGCCUCGCGUCCGAUUAGCUAGUUGGUGAGGUAAUGGCCCACCAAGGCAACGAUCGGUAGCCGGACUGAGAGGUUGAACGGCCACAUUGGAACUGAGACACGGUCCAAACUCCUACGGGAGGCAGCAGUGGGGAAUAUUGCACAAUGGGGGAAACCCUGAUGCAGCGACGCCGCGUGAAGGAAGAAGUAUCUCGGUAUGUAAACUUCUAUCAGCAGGGAAGAUAGUGACGGUACCUGACUAAGAAGCCCCGGCUAACUACGUGCCAGCCGCCGCGGUAAUUC